rnacentral:tRNA from 1 species
GGGAAGGUAGGCCUGCUGGUGUGGGCACUGGACUUCAAAUCCAGGUUAGGGGCCGUGAGAGCGGUCCCGGGUAGGUUCGAUUCCUGCACCUUCCCGCCA